rnacentral:tRNA from 2 species
GCGGGUGUAGCUCAACGGUAGAGCUCCAGCCUUCCAAGCUGGUGACGCGGGUUCGACACCCGUCACCCGCUCCA